GCCUGGGUAGCUUAGUCGGUUAAGCAUCUGACUUUAGCUCAGGUCAUGAACUUGCAGGUUGUGAGUUCCAGCCCUGCAUUAGGCU
rnacentral:tRNA from 1 species